CCUGACUCGGGUCUUGACCAUAAGACCUCUGAGUUCAUGACCUUAGCCGAAGUCAGCCACCUAACUGACUGAGUCAUCCAGGUGCCCCAACAGUAAAUUAUCUUAAGUUUUUUCACUUAUUUGAUCAGUCCUGUAUGUAGCCAGGCAUAUAGGAAUCUCUGCUUUCCAAUUUCUUUCCCAGUGCAGAUGCCCUCCUAACCCCACACAGGCUCUGAGAACCUGUGCUGGGCCAUACUCUCCACCCCUCUCCAAAGAGGAUGCUUUCCUCAUUCUUAGGUCCCAAUAUUCCAUGUGGGGAUAUAGUUUUGGACAGAUAAAAUCCCUGCUUUCAAGGAGCUUACAUUCUAAUGGUGGGACAGAGGGAACAAAGAGAUAAAAAUAAAGCAUCAGGUGCAAUGGAAAAAUAGGACAAUGGGAUGAGAAGGGACUGGGGUGCUACUGUGGGUUGGUGAUGUGUGGAUCACUGUCUUCAUGCCCUACUCUCCAUCCUUCUUUGCCCUGCUCCAGGCAUACCCACACAAUGCAUUACUUAGCUCCUUUGCUGCUGGCUUUCUGAUUGAAUUUGACCGCUAGGAGAUAGGUGGGUGAGGGGAGAGAGAAAUCUCUUCCUGCUUUGGGAUGUAUUUUUUGGCAGUGGGCCCUCCUUGGGGUUCAGCUCUCACUGAACUCCAGAAAUUCCAUUUUCUCCCCCUUGUCCCUCGAAGCCCCUUGAUAGUAAUUACUUCCCAAUGUUGCUAGCAUAAUGGUACCCUAACGAUCUUGUUACUCUUUACCCUGAUUCUACCUUUGUUAAUAGUUCCAUCAUGAAAGUCUGUUGAACCAUCUGAGCUAGAUCUUAUUCUUUGAGGAAAUGAUUCUUUUUGUUUAAACAUUUUUUUGUGAACCAUUUUUGUUUUCAAGUCAAUGUAUGUUCUUACACAAUAUGAUUUUCAAAAACUCAGUCUGAUCAUUUAAAAAAAGGAAAACAGUAGCCAGGUUUGUCUUUCAAGAAUUGAGGGCAGAAUCGAUUGCCUUCUUGUCCUGCCCCUGACUUGAGGGCUAAGUAGCUUGUGCUGUGCUAUAUGGGGGGUGGUAUGCCUGCCGUUGUGACUCUACCAGGGGCCCCUCCCCCCCAGCAUCCAGUUUAUGUAAGUAAUUCCAUUUUGGGCUUUAAAAAAUAAUACAGACUGUAAUUCCUUCAUCAGGCUUCAUCCUUGGCUGUGCAUUUCCCCAUUCUUCACCUCCUAGGGAGGGAUCUCAGUCACUGGGAGUCAAUGGAGGCUCUUCUUGGAAACACAGGUUACUGCUGGAACCUACCUUUUCCACCUUCUUUUAUUACCCUGUCUACUUGGUGCUGAGAACUGUGCUUCCAUUUGGAGGGCUCUUCAAAUAAUUCCUAAAACUUUUCUCCCCCUCUACUAAGCAUUUGCAAGCCCGAGGUCUUCCCAGGGUGUCCUGGAUUGGAGAAUGAGAAGGGGCCUGCAGGAAGAGUACUUUGCCAUACCUUCAAUGAGCAUCACUCAUUUCCUGGGCAAGCUAGAAGAAUGUUAAAAGGAUGUUUCCCGUGACUGGCUUUAUCAGUGACAAGAGCUUACUAGAGGCAUAAGAAGGUGCUGCAGAUUGGCUGAGCCAUCUGGGAGAUCUUCAGAAUGAAUAGGGUCCAUCGCAGUGCAAUAUGCAAAGAAUAUAUGUUGUGAUAAAAUCCAUUGGUUCCUUCACUAAACCAGCCUCUACAAACCCUGAGAUUGUGCACAGCUAGUUGGUUGGCAGAGAAUACUGAAUUUAUGUGAAUGAGAGAUUGCUACGGAAAUAGGUGCUUCUCACUGAAGAUCGGCUGGACCAUCCAGCAUGAAGCGGUGUAGGCACUCGUUUUAGAUGACAAAGUUUUUGGCUGGAUGGACUAAGAUUUGCAGAUAAAUGAAUGUCCAAGACACACCUCUCUGUGCAAAGCCCCAGAAUCCCAAUCAGGCUAGCACAAGCUGAAGGAGCAUUUAGUGGAUUCUGGGCGUAGUCGGACCUAUAAGAAGGUACUGGAAGUGUAAACUGGAAUGUCAAGAACCCAGGUUCAUCUGUUCUUUUAGUUGGCACUGAUGCCCAGAGAAAGCUGGCCUGGAAAAGGUGAAAGUAUCUUGGAAGAAUGAAGAAAUGACUGACUCCAGGGUUAGGGCAUAGAAAGUCCAAGAUGAAUCUGGAAUACUCAAGUUGAAGGGAUUCCUGUUGCCCAAAUCUGGGACUAUCUGAGCAUCUGAAUGACUGAUGGUAUUAUUAAUGGAUUCUAACCCACGGAAUAAGUAGGAAUUGUUGGGCCCAUACUGAUAUAACUAACUAAAUGAAUAAGCAAAUGAAGAGAGAAGAAAAGUUUUUCUUCCAGCAGAAUGCCAAUGAAGAGAGAAGGUGGAGUUAGAAAAUCUUGAUCUGGCAGCCAUCAUCAUCAUAAUUAAUUCAGCAAAGAAAUGCCAAUGGGGGAUGUCUGGGUGGCUCAGUGGUUGAGCUUCUGCCUUUGGCUCAGGGCAUGAUCCUGGGGUCUUGGGACUGGGGUCUUGGGAUGAGUCCCACAUCGGGCUCCCUGCAGUGAGCC